rnacentral:rRNA from 1 species
UACGUAGGUGGCGAGCGUUAUCCGGAUUUACUGGGUGUAAAGGGUGUGUAGGCGGGGGAUCAAGUCAGAUGUGAAAACCACAGGCUCAACCUGUGACCUGCAUUUGAAACUGGUUUUCCUGAGUGUCGGAGAGGUAAAUGGAAUUCCCGGUGUAGCGGUGAAAUGCAUAGAUAUCGGGAGGAACAUCUGUGGCGAAGGCGAUUUACUGGACGACAACUGACGCUGAGACACGAAAGCGUGGGGAGCAAAC